rnacentral:rRNA from 1 species
CAGUCGAACGAGGGUCCUUCGGGACUCGAGUGGCGAACGGGUGAGUAACACGUAGGGAACCUGCCCGUGCGACCGGGAGAACUUUCGGAAACGGAAGCUGAUACCGGAUAGGGACAGAGACGGCAUCGACUCUGUGUUAAAGGAGCUGAAAGGCUCCGCGCACGGAUGGACCUGCGGUGCAUUAGCUGGUUGGUGAGGUAACGGCCCACCAAGGCGACGAUGCAUAGCCGGCCUGAGAGGGCGGACGGCCACACUGGGACUGAGACACGGCCCAGACUCCUACGGGAGGCAGCAGUAGGGAAUUUUCGUCAAUGGGCGCAAGCCUGAACGAGCAAUGCCGCGUGAACGAGGAAGGUCUUCGGAUCGUAAAGUUCUGUUGAAGGGGAAAAAGAGCGGAGAGAGGAAAUGGUCUCCGAUUGAUAUUACCCUUCGAGGAAGUCACGGCUAACUACGUGCCAGCAGCCGCGGUAAUACGUAGGUGGCGAGCGUUAUCCGGAAUGAUUGGGCGUAAAGGGUGCGUAGGCGGCCUGCUAAGUCUGGAGUGAAAGGUACCGGCUCAACCGGUAUAGGCUCUGGAAACUGGCGGGCUAGAGAGCAGGAGAGGGCGGUGGAACUCCAUGUGUAGCGGUAAAAUGCGUAGAUAUAUGGAAGAACACCAGUGGCGAAGGCGGCCGCCUGGCCUGUUACUGACGCUGAGGCACGAAAGCGUGGGGAGCAAAUAGGAUUAGAUACCCUAGUAGUC